UUCUCCUGGUUUCGCCGACGGUCGUUUUACCCUGUUCUCUGUUGUCGGGCUGUGUGCUGUGCUGAACGUAAUAUCUGGCUUUCUCUUCGAUGACACAGACCCAGGGCUACCACUAUUAGCGUCAUUGCAGACCUGAAUAUAAAUACUAGCACUCCGUACGAUAUACUCCACUUUUCUGCCUAUCCACCUCUCCGUGGGUUUGGUCAUGGUUCGGUCACCAUAGGACUUUCCACUUCCAAACCAUUUCCAAAUUUCAAGGGCGCGCUCGCGCGCCCCAAAGAUACCAAUAUUAUCGACUAUCUGGCGGCAUGGCGGGAAUGGAGGAGUUGGAGAUUCAUAGCAAAUCUUAUCUCGUACGUUGGAUCAACGUCAAAUCUGAACAUACCAUAUCCUGGAGCAUUCAACCCCAUAAGAAGUCGCUGAAUUUCGGUAUCUUCAAACAUCCCGGCCAGUCCGGAAAUGUCGCAAGCAGCCUGAACAGCUCUGGAUCCUCCGACCCUAUUACCAACGAAUUUACUGAACCGAAUAAGGAAAACAGCAAAACUGCCAGUUCUUCGUCUGUCGUCACAGAGAAACUUAGAAGUUUGGGUCUGAAGCAAAUCCAGUGGAUCGGCAAGUGCGAAGCGGACAAAAUCUCUCAGGGAACCUAUGACGUUAGCCAAAAUGAAGGCGGCAACUAUGCGCUCGUAUUUGACAAUACCUUCUCAAAGCAAAUCUCCAAAACCGCAACUUUUGUCCUUCUGACCUACCCGUCCAAUGCUCCUCCACAUUCCGGCCAUCAGAUUCACCAUUCGCAAGCUGCAGGGACAGUCAUUGGGAAUCUCCAGCCGCGCCCGAGUCCAGCGUUAAAUCCGACGGCAUCAGACUCGACAGAGUCGUUACGACAUGGUCGUGCUUGGGCCAGCAGCAAAAUACCUCCUCACAGCGCAGAAUCUUCGAAAAGCUUUCCAUUAACUGUACACACUGGGAUUCUCCAGAAGAGAAGAAGGAAGCGUCAUCAGGGAUAUGCACGCCGCUUCUUCUCCCUCGACUUUACCUCUUCAACAUUAUCGUACUAUCACGAUCGUAAUUCGUCAGCCCUCCGCGGCGCCAUACCUUUGAACCUAGCAGCGAUUGCGGCCAAUCAAAAGACCAGAGAAAUAUCGAUUGAUUCUGGAGUGGAGAUCUGGCACCUCCGCGCCUCUACUGACGCUGACUUCCUAGCGUGGAAACAUGCAUUGGAGAAAGCUUCGCAAAGUCAAGAUGGAGUGCCACCGGAAUCAAGACCAAAACCUCGUCCUGAGUUGGCAGCGUCUUCCAGCACGGUUGUGAAUGAUGUCCGACAAUGGGCUGAGGUGGAAGCUCUAGUUGAGAAAGUAUCGAAUACAAGAGAUAUGGUGCGUCGUUUGGCGAAGGAUACAGAUCCUAAAUAUCUGGGAACCCCUAUUGGGCGACGAGAACGGUCACAAAGCCCAUCUACUACUACACUCCCCCAAUCCCUGACUGGGAGUAGUCUGGAUGAAGUGGUAGAAAAUAGAGAGAAGCGGUCUUUCUGGAAACUGAAGCCUCGAGAUAUCAGCAAUACUCCCAAUCCAGCUGGUAAACGUAAUAUUCCUUCACAAACGGCAAUCCCGCCGUCCAAUGCGAAUGGUCCUUCGAACGCUAAAUCUCAUGGUGAAAUGACGAACGCUCUCGAACUGAGCGUACAUGAUGAUUUGAUGAUAAUACUCCGCGAACUUAACUUUGUUGUGUCAGAAUUUUCUACCCUCAUGCUGGAUAAAAAACAGAAAAUUCCAACCAAAAUCUCUCAUGUCAAACCCCGCGCAAGUUUCGAUUCUGAGGCAUCACAGGAAUUUUUCGAUGCGACAGAUGGAAAUGCCUCUCCACUGCUUACCAUCCAACGAGACAGUGACGAUGAGUAUGAAAGGAGUGAAUCUCCCGUGACUGCUGAUGGAGACGAAGAGUCACUCUCUGGUAGCGAGGUGGACGAAGCUGACACCUUUAUGAGCAAACCGUUCAGACUGGAUAAUUCUUCAUCUCUAUUCCCAGCCAAACCUAGAUCACUGGGCCCACUGCCCCUUAAUCAUAAAGUCAUACGGAGAACCAAAAUACCGCCUCCGACCAUGCCACCACCUAGCUUGAUAAGCUUUCUUCGCAAGAACGUGGGCAAAGAUUUGUCGACUAUUUCCAUGCCGGUAUCUGCCAACGAACCAUUAUCCCUCCUUCAGCGUGCAGCCGAACAAUUGGAAUAUUCCCAGCUCCUCGACAAUGCUGCGAGCGCCACGGAUGGCCUGGAACGUCUGAUUUACGUCACGGCAUUUGCCCUCUCGCCGCUUUCCAAUGGACGGGUCAAGGAACGUGCUAUCCGCAAGCCUUUCAAUCCCAUGCUAGGCGAAACCUUUGAACUCAUCCGCGAGGACCGUGGCUUCCGUUUCAUUGCCGAAAAAGUCUCCCACCGGCCCGUUCAACUAGCUUACCAAGCAGACUCCAAAGAUUGGAGCUUUUCCCAAUCGCCCAAACCCACGCAGAAAUUUUGGGGCAAGUCGGCUGAGAUAAUCACAGACGGAAAGGCCCGCCUCACCCUACACUCGAACGGUGAACAUUUCAGCUGGUCCCCUGCGACAUGCUUCCUUCGUAACAUCAUCGCAGGUGAAAAAUAUGUUGAACCCGUCGGCCAAAUGUGCGUUCUGAAUGAAACCACUGGCCAAAAGACAAUCGCCACCUUCAAAGCUGGCGGCAUGUUCUCAGGCCGCAGCGAAGAAGUUUCCGUUAAAGCCUUUGAUACCCACGGCGAAGAACUGCCCCUGGGCCUCCAAGGGGCCUGGACUACCUCCCUCCAGCUGACUGAACACGGUAUGGAGACCAACAAGACCAUCUGGGCAGCCGGGUCGCUUGUCGAUAAACCCACGAAGAAUUAUGGAUACACAACCUUCGCUGCAUCGCUGAAUGAAAUCACUGAUAUUGAGAAAGGGAAGGUCCCCGUUACGGAUAGUCGGUUACGGCCGGACCAGCUCGCGCUGGAGGAGGGCAGUGUAGACCGCGCGGAACAGCUCAAAGCGGAGUUGGAGGAAAGGCAGCGAGAAAGGCGGAGGGAGAUGGAGGAAAGAGGGGAACAAUGGAGACCUAGGUGGUUCGUGAAGGUUGUGGGGGAGGGUGGUGUGUCUUCUGCUGAAG
rnacentral:sRNA from 2 species